rnacentral:rRNA from 1 species
GUGCUUAACACAUGCAAGUCGAACGGAAAGGCCCCUUCGGGGGUACUCGAGUGGCGAACGGGUGAGUAACACGUGGGCAAUCUGCCCUGCACUUCGGGAUAAGCCUGGGAAACUGGGUCUAAUACCGGAUAGGACCUUUAGACGCAUGUCUUUUGGUGGAAAGCUUUUGCGGUGUGGGAUGGGCCCGCGGCCUAUCAGCUUGUUGGUGGGGUGAUGGCCUACCAAGGCGACGACGGGUAGCCGGCCUGAGAGGGUGUCCGGCCACACUGGGACUGAGAUACGGCCCAGACUCCUACGGGAGGCAGCAGUGGGGAAUAUUGCACAAUGGGCGCAAGCCUGAUGCAGCGACGCCGCGUGGGGGAUGACGGCCUUCGGGUUGUAAACCUCUUUCACCAUCGACGAAGGUUCGGGUUUUCUCGGAUUGACGGUAGGUGGAGAAGAAGCACCGGCCAACUACGUGCCAGCAGCCGCGGUAAUACGUAGGGUGCGAGCGUUGUCCGGAAUUACUGGGCGUAAAGAGCUCGUAGGUGGUU